rnacentral:rRNA from 1 species
GCGUGAGUGAUGUAGGCCUUAGGGUUGUAAAGCUCUUUCACCGGGGACGAUAAUGACGGUACCGGGAGAAGAAGCCCCGGCUAACUUCGUGCCAGCAGCCGCGGUAAUA